GAUGAACGCUGGCGGCGUGCCUAAUACAUGCAAGUCGAGCGAACGGACGAGAAGCUUGCUUCUCUGAUGUUAGCGGCGGACGGGUGAGUAACACGUGGAUAACCUACCUAUAAGACUGGGAUAACUUCGGGAAACCGGAGCUAAUACCGGAUGAUAUUUUGAACCGCAUGGUUCAAAAGUGAAAGACGGUCUUGCUGUCACUUAUAGAUGGAUCCGCGCUGCAUUAGCUGGUUGGUAAGGUAACGGCUUACCAAGGCAACGAUGCAUAGCCGACCUGAGAGGGUGAUCGGCCACACUGGAACUGAGCCACGGUCCAGACUCCUACGGGAGGCAGCAGUAGGGAAUCUUCCGCAAUGGGCGAAAGCCUGACGGAGCAACGCCGCGUGAGUGAUGAAGGUCUUCGGAUCGUAAAACUCUGUUAUUAGGGAAGAACAUAUGUGUAAGUAACUGUGCACAUCUUGACGGUACCUAAUCAGAAAGCCACGGCUAACUACGUG
rnacentral:rRNA from 1 species